rnacentral:rRNA from 2 species
CGUACACGGUGGAUGCCCUGGCAGUCAGAGGCGAUGAAGGGCGUGCUAAUCUGCGAUAAGCGCCGGUAAGGUGAUAUGAACCGUUAUAACCGGCGAUACCCGAAUGGGGAAACCCAGUGUGAUUCGUCACACUAUCAUUAACUGAAUCCAUAGGUUAAUGAGGCGAACCGGGGGAACUGAAACAUCUAAGUACCCCGAGGAAAAGAAAUCAACCGAGAUUCCCCCAGUAGCGGCGAGCGAACGGGGAGGAGCCCAGAGCCUGAAUCAGCAUGUGUGUUAGUGGAAGCGUCUGGAAAGGCGCGCGAUACAGGGUGACAGCCCCGUACACAAAAGCGCAUGUGCUGUGAGCUCGAUGAGUAGGGCGGGACACGUGGUAUCCUGUCUGAAUAUGGGGGGACCAUCCUCCAAGGCUAAAUACUCCUGACUGACCGAUAGUGAACCAGUACCGUGAGGGAAAGGCGAAAAGAACCCCGGCGAGGGGAGUGAAAAAGAACCUGAAACCGUGU